rnacentral:rRNA from 1 species
UACGUAGGGGGCAAGCGUUGUCCGGAUUCAUUGGGCGUAAAGAGCGUGUAGGCGGCCAGGUAGGUCGGUUGUGAAAACUGGAGGCUCAACCUUCAGAGGUCGACCGAAACCAUCUGGCUAGAGUCCGGGAGAGGAGAGUGGAAUUCCUGGUGUAGCGGUGAAAUGCGCAGAUAUCAGGAAGAACACCCGUGGCCAAAGCGGCUCUCUGGAACGGUACUGACGCUGAGACGCGAAAGCGUGGGGAGCGAACAGG